UAAUAAGUGUUUUAUGGCACUUUUUAAAUCCAUAUCCACCUUGUGUGCAAUGUCAGUCGGUUCUUUCUUUUUCGUCAAGAAAAAGAAAGGUCGACCAAACAUCAACUUAUUCUAAUUGAACUUUUGUCUGAAAACUAUUAUGAAUAAACUAAUUCAAAAUA
rnacentral:misc_RNA from 1 species